CCUCCGAAUAGUGCCACUCCCUGGGCCAAGCACAUUCAAACCACCACAGGGUCCAUCUUUGAUUCUCACGGACACAGCUAAUUGACAUGAAGAUCAGUGCCCAUCAUAGUAUGUACAAGUGUGGAGUGCCAUUGAGUUGUCCGUGGGAUCGGAUGCUAUGAUGGGCAGAAAGAACAUUUACAUGGUGCUUGAGAACCAUCACUGGCUGAUCUUGGGGAGGACCUGCGUUCCGUUCCCAGCAUCCACAUGGCAACCUACAACCAUCCAUAACUCCAGUUCCAGGGGACCUGGUGUCUUCUGGCCUCUGCAGGCUCCAGGCAUGCACAAGGCGUACAGACAUGCUUUCAGGUGAAACACCCGGACACAUAAAUAAAAGUAAACACAUUGAAAAAUGGAGCCAUCAAGGUGACAGGAUUGGAAUCUCAUGUGAAGGCCUUAGUGGGUGUUCCUCCAGCCUUUUUGACACAUG
rnacentral:lncRNA from 1 species